rnacentral:rRNA from 1 species
GUGCCAGCAGCCGCGGUAAGACGUAGGGUGCGAGCGUUGUCCGGAUUUAUUGGGCGUAAAGAGCUCGUAGGCGGCUCGUCGCGUCGGUUGUGAAAACUCUAGGCUUAACCUGGAGCUUGCAACCGAUACGGGCGGGCUAGAGUUCGGUAGGGGAGACUGGAAUUCCUGGUGUAGCGGUGAAAUGCGCAGAUAUCAGGAGGAACACCGGUGGCGAAGGCGGGUCUCUGGGCCGAUACUGACGCUGAGGAGCGAAAGCGUGGGGAGCGAACAGGAUUAGAAACCCCCGUAGUCC